UUACAAGUACCGUGAGGGAAAGUUGAAAAGCACUUUGAAAAGAGAGUGCAAGAGAACGUGAAACCGUUAUAGUGGAAGCGGAUAGAGUCGACGUAUCCAGUGCGUAUUCAGCCAAUUUUUGAGGUGAUUUUUUAGUUAUAAGUUCUGCAAAGUCUUUGACUGAUUUUUUCAUUUCAAAAAAUGGUGCAUUUGCGUACAGAGUGCGCCGAAUCGAUUGAAUUUGCCGUUUGAAGGGCGCAAAGCAGACUACUUUUUGUAGAAACUUUUGCGCUUGGAUGGCGGAUGAGUUUGAUUGUAAAAUGAAGUUGGUUUUUCGUGAAAGUGUUKAUUGAUUGAGGAGGUAUUUGUACGAUGCAUGCGUUUUGCAUUCAUGUUCUUAGUCGAUUGGCGCUUUUGCUCUACUUCACAUUCGGUGUUUAGUCGAUCACCUAUUUGACCCGUCUUGAAACACGGACCAAGGAGUUUAAGGUGUACGCAAGUCAUUGGCGGUUGAAAGUCAAAGGCGUAAUGAAAGUGGGACACUUGGUGUCUGUGGUGUGAGCUAGAUUUGUUUCGACGAGUCUAGCGCAACAUCGACCCAUGACUAGGAUUUAUUCUGUUGUGGAGUCUGA
rnacentral:rRNA from 1 species